GACGGAGGAUGCAAGUGUUAUCCGGAAUCACUGGGCGUAAAGCGUCUGUAGGUGGUUUAAUAAGUCUGCUGUUAAAAAUUGAAGCUUAACUUCAAAGGUGCCGUAGAAACUUUUAAACUUGAGGAUGGUAGGGGUAGAGGGAAUUUCCAGUGGAGCGGUGAAAUGCGUAGAUCUUGGAAAGACCACCAAUGGCGAAGGCACUCUACUGGGCCAUGACUGACACUGAGAGACGAAAGCUAGGGGAGCAAAUGGG
rnacentral:rRNA from 1 species